rnacentral:rRNA from 1 species
GAUGAACGCUGGCGGCGUGCCUAAUACAUGCAAGUCGAGCGAAUGGAUUAAGAGCUUGCUCUUAUGAAGUUAGCGGCGGACGGGUGAGUAACACGUGGGUAACCUGCCCAUAAGACUGGGAUAACUCCGGGAAACCGGGGCUAAUACCGGAUAACAUUUUGAACCGCAUGGUUCGAAAUUGAAAGGCGGCUUCGGCUGUCACUUAUGGAUGGACUCGCGUCGCAUUAGCUAGUUGGUGAGGUAACGGCUCACCAAGGCAACGAUGCGUAGCCGACCAGAGAGGUGGAUCGGCAACACUGGGACUGAGCCACGGCCCAGACUCCUACGGGAGGCAGAAGUAGGGAAUCGUCCGCAAUGGAGGAAAGUCUGACGGAGCAACGCCGCGUGAGUGAUGAAGGCUUUCGGGUCGUAAAACUCUGUUGUUAGGGAAGAACAAGUGCUAGUUGAAUAAGCUGGCACCUUGACGGUACCUAACCAGAAAGCCACGGCUAACUACGUGCCAGCAGCCGCCGUAA